GACGAACGCUGGCGGCGUGCUUAACACAUGCAAGUCGAACGGAAAGGCCCUGCUUUUGUGGGGUGCUCGAGUGGCGAACGGGUGAGUAACACGUGAGUAACCUGCCCUUGACUUUGGGAUAACUUCAGGAAACUGGGGCUAAUACCGGAUAGGAGCUCCUGCUGCAUGGUGGGGGUUGGAAAGUUUCGGCGGUUGGGGAUGGACUCGCGGCUUAUCAGCUUGUUGGUGGGGUAGUGGCUUACCAAGGCUUUGACGGGUAGCCGGCCUGAGAGGGUGACCGGCCACAUUGGGACUGAGGUACGGCCCAGACUCCUACGGGAGGCAGCAGUGGGGAAUAUUGCACCAUGGGCGGAAGCCUGAUGCCGCAACGCCGCGUGCGGGAUGACGGCCUUCGGGUUGUAAACCGCUUUCGCCUGUGACGAAGCGUGAGUGACGGUAAUGGGUAAAGAAGCACCGGCUAACUACGUG
rnacentral:rRNA from 1 species